rnacentral:rRNA from 1 species
CAUGCAAGUCGAACGAUGAUGCUAGCUUGCUAGCGGAUUAGUGGCGAACGGGUGAGUAACACGUGAGUAACCUGCCCUUGACUCUGGGAUAAGCGUUGGAAACGACGUCUAAUACCGGAUACGACGACUCAUGGCAUGUUCUGGUUGUGGAAAGAUUUUUUGGUCAAGGAUGGACUCGCGGCCUAUCAGGUUGUUGGUGAGGUAAUGGCUCACCAAGCCUACGACGGGUAGCCGGCCUGAGAGGGUGACCGGCCACACUGGGACUGAGACACGGCCCAGACUCCUACGGGAGGCAGCAGUGGGGAAUAUUGCACAAUGGGCGAAAGCCUGAUGCAGCAACGCCGCGUGAGGGAUGACGGCCUUCGGGUUGUAAACCUCUUUUAGUAAGGAAGAAGAACUUCGGUUUGACGGUACUUGCAGAAAAAGCACCGGCUAACUACGUGCCAGCAGCCGCGGUAAUACGUAGGGUGCAAGCGUUGUCCGGAAUUAUUGGGCGUAAAGAGCUCGUAGGCGGUUUGUCGCGUCUGCUGUGAAAACCGGAGGCUCAACCUCCGGCCUGCAGUGGGUACGGGCAGACUAGAGUGCGGUAGGGGAGAUUGGAAUUCCUGGUGUAGCGGUGGAAUGCGCAGAUAUCAGGAGGAACACCGAUGGCGAAGGCAGAUCUCUGGGCCGUAACUGACGCUGAGGAGCGAAAGCAUGGGGAGCGAACAGGAUA